CAGAGUUGCAAAACUCCCCAAACCAUUGUGAACGUACCCUUGAUCGUUGCUUCGGCGGGCGGCCCCGAGCCCCGGGGCCUCCGCCUUCGCAGGCGCCCGCCGGAGCGUACGUAACUCUUGAACUUUGCAUGGCCUCUCUGAGUCUAUUGUACUGAAUAAGUUA
rnacentral:misc_RNA from 1 species